UUGAUCUCAAAUCAGGUAGGACUACCCGCUGAACUUA
rnacentral:rRNA from 2 species